UACGGAGGGGGCGAGCGUUAUUCGGAAUUAUUGGGCGUAAAGGGCGCGUAGGCGGCUCGAUAAGUCAAAGGUGAAAUCCCUCGGCUCAACUGAGGAACUGCCUUUGAAACUGUCGAGCUCGAGUCCGGGAGGGGGUAGCGGAAUUCCCAGUGUAGCGGUGAAAUGCGUAGAUAUCGGGAGGAACACCUGUGGCGAAGGCGACCCCCUGGUUGGAUACUGACGCUGAGACGCGAAAGCGUGGGGAGCAAACAGG
rnacentral:rRNA from 1 species